rnacentral:rRNA from 1 species
AACGGCCAUACCAUGCUGAAUAUACCGGUUCUCGUUAGAUCACCGAAGUCAAGCAUCAUUGUGCGCGGUUAGUACUUGGGUGGGUGACCACCUGGGAACACCGCGUGCCGUU